rnacentral:rRNA from 1 species
AGAGUUUGAUCAUGGCUCAGGACGAACGCUGGCGGCGUGUUUUAGGCAUGCAAGUCGAACGCCCCCUUCGGGGGGAGUGGCAAACGGGUGAGUAACAAGUUGGUAUCUGACUCCAUCUUUGGCAUAACUCGUCGAAAGAUGAGCUAAUUCCAAAUAGUCCCUGCCUCGCGCAGGGUAAAGAUUUAUCGGAUGGAGAGGAGCCUACUUCCCAUCAGCUUGUUGGCAGGGUAAUGGCCUACCAAGGCGAUGACGGGUAGCUGGUCUGAGAAGACGACCAGUCACACUGGGACUGAGACACUGCCCAGACUCCUACGGGAGGCUGCAGUCAAGAAUCUUCCUCAAUGGGCGAAAGCCUGAAGGAGCGACGCCGCGUGACCGAUGAAGCCCUUCGGGGUGUAAAGGUCUUUUCUGGAGAAGAAACCUUUUGGUUGACGGUAUUCCAGGAAUAAGCCACGGCUAACCUCGUGCCAGCAGCCGCGGUAAUACGAGGGUGGCAAGCGUUGUCCGGAUUCAUUGGGCGUAAAGCGUCUGUAGGCGCCCGGUCAAGUUUCUCGUUAAAUCCCAAUGCUCAACAUUGGGCCUACGGGAAAAACUGGUCGGGUUGAGGACGGGAGAGGUAGACGGAACUCACGGUGUAGCAGUGAAAUGCGUUAAUAUCGUGGGGAACACCAAUAGCGAAGGCUGUCUACUGGCCCUUUCCUGACGCUGAGAGACGAAAGCGUGGGUAGCGAAUGGGAUUAGAUACCCCAGUAGUCCACGCCGUAAACGAUGGAUACUAGACACAAGAAGAUUCGACCCUUUUUGUGUCGAAGCUAACGCGUCAAGUAUCCCGCCUGGGGAGUACGGCCGCAAGGCUAAAACUCAAAGGAAUUGACGGGGACCCGCACAAGCGGUGGAGCAUGUGGUUUAAUUCGACAAUAAGCGAAGAACCUUACCAGGGUUUGAAAACUAGCUGCACGCCCUAAGAAACUAGGGCAGCCUUCGAGGGUGCUAGUCAGGUGGUGCAUGGCUGUCGUCAGCUCGUGCCGUGAGGUGUUGGGUUAAGUCCCGCAACGAGCGCAACCCCUACUAUUAGUUGCCAUCAGGUUAAGCUGGGCACUCUAAUAGGACUGCCUACGCAAGUAGUGAGGAAGGUGGGGAUGACGUCAAGUCAAGCAUGGCCCUUACGCCCAGGGCUACACACGUGCUACAAUGGGUGCAACAAAGGGUUGCUAAGCCGCGAGGUGGAGCCAAUCCCAUAAAUGCAUCCUCAGUUCGGAUUGGAGUCUGCAACUCGACUCCAUGAAGCCGGAAUUGCUAGUAAUCGCGCAUCAGCAUGGUGCGGUGAAUACGUUCCCGGGCCUUGUACACACCGCCCGU